rnacentral:rRNA from 2 species
UUGACCUCGGAUCAGGUAGGAAUACCCGCUGAACUUAAGCAUAUCAAUAAGGCGGAGG